rnacentral:rRNA from 1 species
UACGUAGGGUGCAAGCGUUGUCCGGAAUUAUUGGGCGUAAAGAGCUCGUAGGCGGUUUGUUGCGUCGGCUGUGAAAUCCCGAGGCUCAACCUCGGGUCUGCAGUCGAUACGAGCAAACUAGAGUGUUGCAGGGGAGACUGGAAUUCCUGGUGUAGCGGUGAAAUGCGCAGAUAUUGGGAAGAACACCAGUGGCGAAGGCGGCUAACUGGUCCAGAUCUGACGCUGAGGUGCGAAAGCGUGGGGAGCAAACAGG